UUUUUUUUUUUUUUUUUUUUUUAAUCCUAAGAAAAAGAAGCACGGCUAAUGAAGAAGGCGUGAACCCUUCAGAGCCACCCUUGUACUCAGACCUGCUGAUAAAAGAUAUAUUGUACCUGGGAUAAUUCCAGCCACUCUACAAUGCCCAGAAGUGAUUUAUUUGCAUGCUAAUGUACGCCAAGGGAUAAGUAAUUCCUCCCCUCUCCUCCUGCUAAAGCUCCUCACAAGGCUCAGAUUCAAUGUCAAACAAAUCCCUGAAAGCUGCUACUCAAAAUCUCUGCUUGGAAAGAGAAAAGCCUUAUGCCUCUGGCUGUGCCCAGGGACACAAAGCCAGGGAUUCAGCCAGGUCCUGAGGUUUCCAUUCCAGCUGUGCCGUCAGCUCCAUCUGUAGAUGAAGACAAGUGACUAGUUGCUUUGCUCACUACUGCAGUCAAGUGAGCAGCCUUGGGGGUUGGUGGUAAAGGAAUAAUUGUCCUUGACACAGGCCAGGAAGCCAUCACUCAAGUGAAAGAGACAAUAGUGGGAGGCAGUGACACAGCUGGGAAAUACCAUAUUGAUAGAGCCACAAAACAACUUCCUAAAUGACCAGAAGUUACGCCUAGUAAAGAUCUCAGAAGAGUUAUGUGGCUUCUCUCCCCAACCCUGUUCCUGAAGGAAACCAACUCCACCCACACAGGACCCAUGAGCAAUCAUUGUCCAUUUAGUAGGGGCCAGAACUACACACAUAACUCCUU
rnacentral:lncRNA from 1 species